rnacentral:lncRNA from 1 species
GCCCUUGUGAGCCACUGCGUUCUCCAAGGCCAGAACGGGACAGUUGACGAUGGUCCUACUUCUCCAUGUUCUGAGACCAGUUUAAAGAAAAACAAAAACCAGACAACAACCUUGCAAGGGAAAGAAUUCAGAGUAAAUAAACAGUCUUUUUCUGUGAAGCAAAAUAUUUCCCUAAGAUGGAGAAAUUGAGAUGAGAGCUCAUCCACAAGAUUACCCAUCAGUGAGCACCAGUAGCAACAAAAUCCACUAGACGACUGGGAGCUUUUAAGUCAGGAAACUUAUAUCAGUAUCAUCAUUCCAAGAAGCAGUAUCCAAGCUGUUUUAUCAAAAGUGUGCAUGGGAGAUACGAAUAAGCCUGGAUAAGAUUCAACAGAAUUGAACCACAGAAAACCACUUUUUGACCUCAAGGUUGAUCAUGAGAAUCAUCUCUAGGACUCAUCUCUUUCCUUUGCAGAUUGGAAAUGCUUAUAAGGAUAAAAGAUUAAAAGAUAAGGGAAGGGCUUCAUCCCCAAACCCUUUAAAUGUUAUCAUUCUCUCUGUCUCUCUGUCUCUGUCUCUCUCUCUCUCUCUCUCUCUCUCCCUUGCUCUCUCUCUCUCUCUCUCUCUCUCUCUCUCUCUUUCAUUUUAGGGGGAUACCAAUGAAAGGCACUUAUGGACGAUAUUCAGACUUUUUAUAUUUUUACCACAUUCCAGUAAAAGUCCGUCUCCAAAGAAAUUUGGCCCAAGAUGGAAUGAAAAAAUGAAAGACAUUUUAUUUUUUCUCCUAGAUGUUGGCAAUACUCCACUCCUACAUGUCUGAGGUUGUUUUCAUCUUGCAAAGGACUUUCAUAUUUGUGAAUGUGGCUACAUGGCUUAAAAAAAUAGCAGUGAAAAGUUAUACUAAUUAUUCAACUUUUACAUUAAUGCUUAACAAGAAAAAAAUAAUUUUAUUAUCCUUGAUAAUGGCUAUAAAAAUUAAGAAACCCAGAAGGAAAGGGAAGAUCUGUGUCCUUAAAAGCAAGUAGCUCCCAUUUCACUGAGUUGUUAUAUCUAAUUCAUCCAGUGCACCCUGAAAAUGAGACCCUCAUGUUCUCUAACUUCCAGUCUAUGCAGAGCCAGCUCUGACUGGGGCUGCUAUAUUUGUCCUGAGGUUCUGAGCCAGUCCUGAGGUUCUCACCCUUUUUGGUGUUGGCAAUGAGUCUGCAUCAAGAAGAGACUUAUCUCCCUUUCUCUGCCUAUUCUUUCUAUCUCUAUUCAAGAUGAAAUUUUAAUAAAUCAGUUAUAUUCAUAUUCAUUCAGCAUUCCUCUUGCUAGGUUUCUACAGAAGCUUAUAAUAUUAAUUGGGGUAGGGGCACAUCAUGCUGAAUAUUUGGAAGCUGAAACCGAUAAAAUGUGAUGUUCUGGAAUAUAAACUGAAUAGUAACAACAUUAUCUGGACUACUGAGUCAAACAAUGAAGUUGGUUUAUGGUGAGGAGUAAAUAAUGAAGUUGCUUAUAUUUUAUUAAAUCUGUAGGUCCUUUGAAGUGGGUCUGGAAUAACAAGUAAAUACUGCUCUUUAGU